UACGUAGGUGGCAAGCGUUGUCCGGAAUUAUUGGGCGUAAAGCGCGCGCAGGCGGUCCUUUAAGUCUGAUGUGAAAGCCCACGGCUCAACCGUGGAGGGUCAUUGGAAACUGGGGGACUUGAGUGCAGAAGAGGAGAGUGGAAUUCCACGUGUAGCGGUGAAAUGCGUAGAUAUCAGGAGGAACACCUGUGGCGAAAGCGGCGCACUGGACCACAACUGACGCUGAGGCGCGAAAGCUAGGGGAGCAAACAGG
rnacentral:rRNA from 1 species